rnacentral:misc_RNA from 1 species
GCGGCGGCUUUUCGCCCUCGGCUUGCAACAAUUUUCCUACUUUUUUGGUGUUGCAAAUAGUUAACAAUUUAUAAAUGUUGAACCACAGCCACCAUAGCCCACACCUGGUCAAAAUGAAAGACCAUUGACAGCAAUAAAAGAUCUGUAGAACAUAGUGGCGGCACAAACCCUCCGGUUAUCUAUGGGAAAGGAAAAGACCGACGCUUGUGAGACAAAUGCCGCAACAUCUCUGAGAGCAAAACAACGACCAGAAGUGGGUGUGGAAUCCACGGACUACACCGACGCCAUCUCCGACUCUGAAAGCAACCAAACCAAAGGAACAAGAACUAAAAAGCAGUCCAAAAAUGACGUUCCGUCGGAGGCAGUCGGCAGCAGCCACAAAGAGCCAACAAGUGAUGAUGCUACCAGUGGAACAGAUGCAGAAGCAGCACCAGUAGCCGAAGUUUCUGUCAAAGUUGAGGCCACCUUGGAUGAGCACCAAGUGGAAAAGAAAGCCUGUAAAAUCCGCAUUGUGCCUCUAGAGAAACUACUGCCACAGAAAGUGACGGAAACGAGAGAGCAACCAAAAGUCUUGCCGCAACGCAAGUCUCGCAACAACAUUUCGAUCAUUGAAUUGAGCGACAGCGACGAGACCGAAGACGAGCAAAAAGAAGAGCACAAAGCGUCCAUUGUGGUGAAUCCUUUGCGCAGGAAAGCGAAGGCCAUCACCAAGUCCCACGGCAACGCCAGCGGGGCCACCAUAACCAUCUUGUCAUCCUCCUCCUCGGAAGAGAACAGGCCCUUCAAGCUAUUGAAGGCUGUCGAGGCCAAGAAGCGGGCAAAGAAUAUUGCCAGUCUGUUCCACUCAUCCGCCGAGGAUAGCGGCGACAGUAAGCCCUUGCAGGUCCGCGCGAAGGCCAUCAACGGCAAAGAGAAGAUUGCUAAGAAGAUCCCACGCAUCGCUUCAUCCAUUGAAGGGAGUGACAGUCGAUCUGCAGGCCCAGGCACUAAGAAGUCUCGAAAUAAGAGUAGCAGAUUUCAUUCCGAAGAAGCGGCCAGCCUCGCACAGCUCUUAAAGGCGGCCAUCAACGGUGCGGAAGAGCCAAGGUCUCCCAAGAAUAUUGCUAGUGAGUUCUCCUCUUCGUCAGAGGAAAGCCAGCCCUUGGAGACCCGCAGAAAGGCAAUCAACGGCAGGCCACGAAGGGAUUCGACGCUUUCCAAGGAGAAGCAUCCACCGAAACCCUCUGCCACUUCUGUGCUUGCCCAACAACAGCAGCAGCAGCAGCAUCGACUGAAAACUUGUUUGGUACGUGUGAAGCGGAUUAAAGCGUCAGAGCCGGAGCCAAGGCCAAGCAUCAAGGAGGCAGAGCCGAAGCCACAGACAGAACAAAAGCCAAAAUCUAAGACAGAACCAGAGCCAGAACCAGAACCAGAGCGAGAGCCAGAGCCAAGCACUUCAAACAAACGGCAACGCAUCAUGAGCACAGAUUCCGAGGAGGCUGCCACAACCUCGGGCACGGCAGCGGCAGCAGCCAAACGGGCACGCCGCUCCGCCAAAAAGAGUGAGGAGUCCGAACCGGACUCCGACUAUGAGGCAGCCGAGGAGGCGCCCGAGCAGGCCGAGUCCGAUGAGUCCGAGCAGGAGGAGGAGGAGGAGGAGUUCCAGGCAAAAUCCGAAGAAGAUGAAGAGGCGGAGGCGGAGGAGGAGGAGGAUGCCGCUCAGACAAGCGGCAGCGAGGUGAUACCACAGCGCAAGCGUCGCGGCGGCGUGAAAAAGCGCGACACCGACUCCGACAAGGGUUCCUCCGACUUUGAGCCCCAGGAAAAGUCCAAAAAGAAACGCAAACGCAUCAAAAACAACUCGAGCGGCGACAGCGAUGCGGAUGGGGAUGAUGAGAAGCAGAAGAACAAGCGGAAGACGAUUCGAAAGAUUAUCAAAAGCAAGGAUCUCGAUAUGACCACCAAGGAGGCGGCCAAAGAGGAGGACGAUCGUCGCCGCCGCAUCGAGGAGCGUCAGCGGGUGUACAAUCGCAUCUUUGACAAAUCGGAGAGCAUCGAAAUCUCCGAACUGGUGCUGGACUUUGACGAGGACUCCAAGAAGGCUCUGCUGCAGGUGGACAAGGGCCUGCUCAAGAAACUGAAGCCCCAUCAAGUGGAGGGCGUCAAAUUCAUGUGGGAUGCCUGCUUCGAGACGCUCAAAGACAGCGAAGAGAAGCCCGGCUCUGGCUGCAUUCUGGCCCACUGCAUGGGUCUGGGCAAGACCCUUCAGGUGGUGACCCUCACCCACACGCUCCUCAUGAACAGGCGCACAGGCGUCGAGCGAGUCCUGGUGAUCACGCCCCUCAGCACGGUGAACAAUUGGGCGCGUGAGUUCCUCUACUGGAUGAAGUUUGCCAAUCGCAAGGACAUCGAAGUGUACGACAUCUCCCGCUACAAGGACAAGCCCACGCGGAUCUUCAAGCUAGCCGAAUGGUUCAACGAGGGCGGGGUCUGCAUCCUAGGCUACGAUAUGUACCGAAUUUUGGCCAACGAAAAGGCCAAAGGACUGCGCAAGAAGCAACGCGAACAGCUGCUACAGGCACUGGUCGAGCCCGGGCCGGAUCUGGUGGUCUGCGAUGAGGGACACUUGCUGAAGAACGAGAAGACAUCGAUCAGCAAGGCGGUGACAAGGAUGCGCACCAAACGGAGGAUUGUCCUCACGGGAACUCCGCUGCAAAAUAAUCUCAGAGAAUAUUACUGUAUGAUUCAGUUUGUGAAACCAAGUCUGCUCGGCACCUACAAGGAGUACAUGAAUCGCUUUGUGAAUCCCAUCAGCAACGGCCAGUACACGGACUCCACGGAGCGCGAUCUCCGCCUGAUGAAGCACCGCUCGCACAUACUCCACAAGCUGCUGGAGGGCUGCAUCCAGCGUCGGGACUAUUCCGUUCUGGCGCCGUACUUGCCGCCGAAACACGAGUAUGUGAUCUAUACGACGUUGUCGGAGCUGCAGCAGACAUUGUAUGGCUACUAUAUGACCACAUAUCGGGAACAGAACAGCUCCGAUAUCUGUGGCAAGGGUGCGCGCUUGUUUCAGGACUUCCAGGACCUGCGACGCAUCUGGACGCAUCCCAUGAAUCUGCGUGUGAAUAGCGACAAUGUAAUUGCCAAGCGUUUGCUCAGCAACGAUGAUUCGGACAUUGAGGGCUUCAUUUGCGACGAAACCGAGGAGGAGGAAGCCGCCGACAGCAACUCCUCCGACAGCUGUGAGUCCUUCAAAUCGGAUGCCAGCAUGUCUGGGGCUCGAAAGAGUACCAAAAAGCACAAGACCCGCAACAGAGCCGGUGCCGAUUCGGAUUCCGAUCUGGAGAUGCUGCCCUCGGGACCCCUCGCACAGAAGGACGACCCCUCCGAGUGGUGGAAGCCAUUUGUGGAGGAGCGCGAACUGAACAACGUGAAUCAUUCCCCCAAGCUGUUGAUCUUGCUGCGUCUCCUGCAGCAGUGCGAGGCCAUUGGCGACAAAUUGUUGGUCUUUUCGCAGUCCCUGCAAUCCCUGGACGUCAUCGAGCAUUUCCUUUCGUUGGUGGACAGCAAUACAAAGAACUACGAGUUUGAGGGGGACGUUGGCGAGUUCAAGGGCUGCUGGACCAAUGGCAAGGACUACUUCCGACUCGAUGGCUCCUGCAGCGUUGAGCAGCGCGAGGCCAUGUGCAAGACCUUCAACAAUGUGGCCAAUCUACGCGCCCGACUUUUCCUCAUUUCCACGCGGGCCGGCGGUCUGGGCAUCAAUCUGGUGGCCGCCAAUCGUGUGGUGAUCUUUGAUGUCUCCUGGAAUCCCUCCCACGACACCCAGAGCAUCUUCCGAGUGUAUCGCUUCGGGCAGGUGAAGCCCUGCUACAUCUACCGUCUGAUCGCCAUGGGCACCAUGGAGCAGAAGGUGUACGAGCGGCAGGUGGCCAAGCAGGCCACCGCCAAGCGUGUGAUUGACGAGCAGCAGAUCUCCAGGCACUACAAUCAAACGGACUUGACGGAGCUCUAUUCGUACGAGCUGAAGCCAACGGCGGAGCGGGAGAUGCCGGCUCUGCCCAAGGAUAGACUGUUUGCAGAGCUGCUGACCGAGCACGACAAGCUGAUAUUCAAAUAUCACGAGCACGACUCCCUGCUGGAGCAGGAGGAGCACGAAAAUCUGACCGAGGAGGAGCGAAAGUCCGCGUGGGCCGAAUACGAGGCGGAGAAGACACGCACCGUGCAGGCCUCCCAAUACAUGAGCUACGAUCGCAAUGCCUUUGGCAAUCAGGUGAUGGGACAAUUUGGCAACGCCUCCGGCAGCGUCACCUCCAACAAGAUCUUUGGCUUCCGUUCGGACAUUCUGCUGCAGUUGCUCAACAUGAAAAUAUCCAAAGAUCAUCCAGAACUAACACAGAACCAGGUCAUCCAAUUGGUGCCGUCAUAUCUGCAGCAGCUGUACAACGAGAUGAACAAUGGGGAUCCCUCCAUGUACAAGGAUCUGUUGAAUCUGCACGGGAAUAUCAUACACCCCAGUGGGAUGUAUAUGAAUCCAUUGCUCUAUGCCAAUCAGCAUCCAUCGGCGGCGGGCUAUAAUCAGGGUACAGGUGGUGCCGGUGCCGUUGCGGGUGUGGGUGUCGGGGCCGGUGCCGGUGCCGUUCCAGGUGUGCCAGGAGGAGCACCGCCUACGGUGCCUGCAGCACCAGGUUUCGAGCCGGAUAAGGUAUACGAAAUUGAUUAGGAUUCUCCACCUUCACAGAGGCAGAUUGGAUAAACACUCUCCACUCCACAGAAGAGAGAGAAGCCACACCCACACGGCCCUUUCCAUUGAGAAAACACAACCCUUGAAUGGGUUGCAAUUUAUAUUAUAAUUUUAGUCUAGUUAAGGGUUUAAAACUGUCCUAAAAAUUCAGCUGUAGACUUACAAUUUUACAUUAGAUACAAGAUAAAAGAUACACAGAUGCGUUUUUCAGUUAUAAUUAUAUAUAAAUACACAAAAUACUAUUUAGAUCGCCUAGCUAUUACGAUUAUAAUAUUGGAAUGAAUGGAUACGCUGUAGCGUCUGGCUAGGACCUCCUCCAAUCCCUCACACACACACAGGAACAUUAUUUAAACACGCAACAAACGAUAAACAAUAAAUGGCACAGAUAUUAUACAUACAAAAAAAAAAUAUAAUUAA